rnacentral:lncRNA from 1 species
GUUGUAGUUGGAGUGAGUGACUGGUAAGAUGAUCCUCUAGACACACUAUUUUGGAAACUUUUUGGUCAUCUACAGUGCAGUCAGCAGAUUUAGGUCCUGUGAUUAAAUUACUGUGGGCUUUCGUUUUGCAGUAUGUGCUCCUCAAUAUAUCUUUCUGGGUUAGCCAUGUGCCUAUGAGUUUGUAACCAAAUUGUGAUUCUCUUUCUUUCUUUCAGAGGUUUCACUGCAAGCUGCUGGCCCCAGCAGCCAGCUCCCUGCUUAUUUCAGAUGACUGCAUCACUCAGCAGAGGCUGAAGAGAGCAGAGAAGUCAGUUACUACUAAAGUGGCUGCUCAUGAAAGGCCAUCAAAUACAGAAGUAAAUGCAAAGGUUAACAAAGUUAGUGGACCAAACAAACUUGAUACUGAGAAUGAACUUUCACAUGUCGCAAGAAAAUAAACACCACUCUUCCAGACUGAUCUACACAGGAGAAACCCAGACUUUUAUGUGAUGCUUUACCAGCUGAGUUCAGUGGAACAGGACUUUGUUGUUACUCUGCACCAAGCAAGCUGGUAAAGGAAUAGACUAUGGGCAUGUUUGCAUGUGGCCAUGCAUGUAUGCACAAGUAGGUAGAAAAGGCUUCUUUUGUAUGCACAAA